ACUUAUUUUUCCUCUAAUUUUCAUGUAAUGAUUACGCGUACGCGAAUUUGUGUCUUUCUUCUUCAGUAUUCUGAUUUUUUACUAAUCUUCUGUCAGUUGUAUAUUUUCAGGGCCUCGGACGAUGGAGGACGGAGGAGGACCAAUGGCGCCCAACGGAAGAAGAAGAGUCCAUUGCUCAGUUAUGUCCAGUGCCCAAUAUUGAUGAAAGAGCAGAAGACGGUUUAGGCUGACCCGGAUGCCGUCUUGAGACGAAGUUUGUCUCCCAUUUAACUGCAGCCACCCCUGUAAGAUGCGGAUGCAGACCGACGGGGCCCGUCAGAAGAAGAGCGCUAGGAGCCGAUUCCGCAGCCAGGAAGCCUAAUAGAGAAGGAUUUUUGUUUCUUUUUUUUUCCUUUUUGUCUCUUUUCCGUCUUCUCCAAUUUCCUUCAAUCUCUAACAUAACUAACUUCCUCCCCCCCCCCCCUUCCCUUCCUCCCAUUUACCCUUUCCUGACCUAACUGUCUUCAUUUGCUAACUUAUUUUUCCUCUAAUUUUCAUGUAAUG